CGGACGGGUGAGUAAUGUCUGGGAAACUGCCUGAUGGAGGGGGAUAACUACUGGAAACGGUAGCUAAUACCGCAUAACGUCGCAAGACCAAAGAGGGGGACCUUCGGGCCUCUUGCCAUCGGAUGUGCCCAGAUGGGAUUAGCUAGUAGGUGGGGUAACGGCUCACCUAGGCGACGAUCCCUAGCUGGUCUGAGAGGAUGACCAGUCACACUUGAACUGAGACACGGUCCAG
rnacentral:rRNA from 1 species